CGACGGGUAGCCGGCCUGAGAGGGCGACCGGCCACACUGGGACUGAGAUACGGCCCAGACUCCUACGGGAGGCAGCAGUGGGAAUAUUGCGCAAUGGGCGGAAGCCUGACGCAGCAACGCCGCGUGCAGGAUGACGGCCUUCGGGUUGUAAACCGCUUUCAGCAGGGACGAAGCUUUUGUGACGGUACCUGCAGAAGAAGCACCGGCCAACUACGUGCCAGCAGCCGCGGUGAUACGUAGGGUGCGAGCGUUGUCCGGAAUUAUUGGGCGUAAAGAGCUUGUAGGCGGUUUGUCACGUCGGAAGUGAAAACUCAGGGCUUAACUCUGAGCCUGCUUCCGAUACGGGCUGACUAGAGGAAGUUAGGGGAGAACGGAAUUCCUGGUGGAGCGGUGGAAUGCGCAGAUAUCAGGAGGAACACCGGUGGCGAAGGCGGUUCUCUGGGACUUUCCUGACGCUGAGAAGCGAAAGCGUGGGGAGCAAACAGGCUUAGAUACCCUGGUAGUCCACGCCGUAAACGGUGGGCACUAGGUGUGGGGGACAUUCCACGUUCUCCGUGCCGUAGCUAACGCAUUAAGUGCCCCGCCUGGGGAGUACGGCCGCAAGGCUAAAACUCAAAGGAAUUGAUGGGGGCCCGCACAAGCGGCGGAGCAUGCGGAUUAAUUCGAUGCAACGCGAAGAACCUUACCUGGGUUUGACAUAUACCGGAAACAUCUGGAGACAGGUGCCCCGUAAGGUCGGUAUACAGGUGGUGCAUGGCUGUCGUCAGCUCGUGUCGUGAGAUGUUGGGUUAAGUCCCGCAACGAGCGCAACCCUCGUCCUAUGUUGCCAGCGGAUUAUGCCGGGGACUCAUAGGAGACUGCCGGGGUCAACUCGGAGGAAGGUGGGGAUGAGGUCAAGUCAUCAUGCCCCUUAUGUCCAGGGCUUCACGCAUGCUACAAUGGCUGGUACAAUGGGCUGCGAAAUCGUGAGAUUUAGCGAAUCCCAAAAAGCCAGUCUCAGUUCGGAUUGGGGUCUGCAACUCGACCCCAUGAAGUCGGAGUCGCUAGUAAUCGCAGAUCAGCAACGCUGCGGUGAAUACGUUCCCGGGCCUUGUACACACCGCCCGUCAAGUCAUGAAAGUCGGCAACACCCGAAGUCUGUGGCCCAACCCUUGUGGGGGGAGCCGUCGAAGGUGGGCUGGUAAUUAGGACUAAGUCGAAACAAGGUAGCCGUACCGGAGGUGCGGCUGG
rnacentral:rRNA from 1 species